rfam:Triticum aestivum genome assembly, contig: Triticum_aestivum_CS42_TGACv1_scaffold_329503_4BS
GGUAUACUCCCUCCAUCCGAAAAAACUUGUCCCAAUCUUGUCCCUCGAAUGGAUGUACCUAGCACUAACUUUAUGCUAGAUACAUCCAUUUAAGGGACAAGCUUUUUCGGACUGGGGGAGUACUUU